rnacentral:rRNA from 1 species
UGGGGAAUUUUGGACAAUGGGCGCAAGCCUGAUCCAGCCAUGCCGCGUGUCUGAAGAAGGCCUUCGGGUUGUAAAGGACUUUUGUCAGGGAAGAAAAGGAUAGGGUUAAUACCCCUGUCUGAUGACGGUACCUGAAGAAUAAGCACCGGCUAACUACGUGCCAGCAGCCGCGGUAAUACGUAGGGUGCGAGCGUUAAUCGGAAUUACUGGGCGUAAAGCGGGCGCAGACGGUUACUUAAGCAGGAUGUGAAAUCCCCGGGCUCAACCUGGGAACUGCGUUCUGAACUGGGUGACUAGAGUGUGUCAGAGGGAGGUAGAAUUCCACGUGUAGCAGUGAAAUGCGUAGAGAUGUAGAGGAAUACCGAUGGCGAAGGCAGCCUCCUGGGAUAACACUGACGUUCAUGCCCGAAAGCGUGGGUAGCAAACAGGAUUAGAUACCCUGGUAGUCCACGCCCUAAACGAUGUCGAUUAGCUGUUGGGCAGCUUGACUGCUUAGUAGCGAAGCUAACGCGUGAAAUCGACCGCCUGGGGAGUACGGUCGCAAGAUUA